rnacentral:rRNA from 1 species
CCUACGGGCGGCUGCAGUGGGGAAUAUUGGGCAAUGGGGGAAACCCUGACCCAGCAACGCCGCGUGAAGGAAGAAGGCUUUCGGGUUGUAAACUUCUUUGACCAGGGACGAAAAAAAUGACGGUACCUGGAAAACAAGCCACGGCUAACUACGUGCCAGCAGCCGCGGUAAUACGUAGGUGGCAAGCGUUGUCCGGAUUUACUGGGUGUAAAGGGCGCGUAGGCGGGAUGGCAAGUCAGAUGUGAAAUGCCGGGGCUUAACCUCGGCACUGCAUUUGAAACUGCUGUUCUUGAGUAUCGGAGAGGCAGGCGGAAUUCCUAGUGUAGCGGUGAAAUGCGUAGAUAUUAGGAGGAACACCAGUGGCGAAGGCGGCCUGCUGGACGACAACUGACGCUGAUGCGCGAAAGCGUGGGGAGCAAACAGGAUUAGAUACCCGGGUAGUC